rnacentral:misc_RNA from 1 species
UUGAAUAAAUAUGGUGGGUUGUAGCUGGCUCUUUGGAGUAUGUGCACGCCUGCUGUCUUUAUCCAUCCACCUGUGCACUUUCUGUAGUCUUGGGAGAUGAGAACGGCUUGUUUUCUCGAUUGAGGCUUCUGGCACUUUCGGAUGCAGGGAUGCUAUGUCUGAAAAGCAGCAUGGCUUUCCUUGAAUUCAGCUGUGAUCUCCUCUCGGGUCUAUGUUUUUUUACCAUAUACCAUGUAGUAUGUUGCAGAAUGUGUCUUUGGGCCUAUGUGCCUAUAAAACUCUAUA